rnacentral:rRNA from 1 species
AGUGAACGCUGGCGGCAGGCCUAAUACAUGCAAGUCGAACGGCAGCACAGCAGAGCUUGCUCUGUGGGUGGCGAGUGGCGGACGGGUGAGGAAUACAUGGGAAUCUGCCCAGUCGUGGGGGAUAACGUAUGGAAACGUACGCUAAUACCGCAUGCGCCCUACGGGGGAAAGUCGGGGACCGCAAGGCCUGGCGCGAUUGGAUGAGCCCAUGUUCGAUUAGCUAGUUGGCGGGGUAAAGGCCCACCAAGGCGACGAUCGAUAGCUGGUCUGAGAGGAUGAUCAGCCACACUGGAACUGAGACACGGUCCAGACUCCUACGGGAGGCAGCAGUAGGGAAUAUUGGACAAUGGGGGCAACCCUGAUCCAGCCAUGCCGCGUGAGUGAAGAAGGCCCUCGGGUUGUAAAGCUCUUUUGUCCGGAAAGAAAAGCAAUCGGUUAAUACCCGGUUGUUCUGACGGUACCGGAAGAAUAAGCACCGGCUAACUUCGUGCC